UGUUGUGUAGCUUCAGUAAACAAGAAUUUUAAAAAUACUUUAUCUUCUUUCUUCAUAGCAUUAUACUGCACUGAACUUGUCUAAGAGGCUCUGUGGAGACUUCUGAUGAAUUUAAAGUGCUCCAGGAUCUACAUUGACAAUGAACCCUCUUGCCUUCUGUUGAGGCAGAACAUGAGUAUACACUGGAGCACCUCUGAGGAUAAGCAUGCUGAUAAUGUAUCCCCCAAGAGGCAUAGACUAUCUAACAAACGUCCACAAUGUCAAGCCUGGGAAACUCCUUUGAUUUGUGGGUCAGAGGAGUUUAUGAACCUCCCAAAGCAAUACAGGUUAUUGCCAUUGUACUUUGCUGUCUACUAGAAAUUGAAGGUAAGACCCUAUUCCAAAGACACCACACUCGGAACUUGAUGAAAUUGAGAUGGAACUGACCUAGAAUCUUCCUACCUGAGUACUAUCUUUCAUAGUAUCAAAGCAUGCUAUGCAAACUUCCAAGAGAGAAAAGCAAUCAAUAGUCCUACAUAGCUCGAAUGUCUAUGUAGCAAAACAAUGUCCAGUCCAGCAAGAUAUGACCAAGGAUAAAAUAAUGGUACUCGUAGUUUGUGAGAAGCAAAUGGUUGUCUAAUUGUAUUUAAUACCCAUUUAAUUGAAGGGGAAUCAUUCCUGUUAUUGUAAACCUAACCAACUCUACAUAACUACAGAGAUCUUAAAACUAAGAUGAAGAACAUGCUACUUCCACUUCCCUAAUACAAUAUAAUUCCUAAUUGCCUUCUAAAUACUUGUCCUUAUACACACAGAAAACUGUAGCUUCUAUCCUUCAUCAAAGAAACUUCAUUUUGCAAUAGAUGGAGACUAGCAAAGAGAUCCACAACUGUUCAAAAUGAAGAAAAUUUUACCUUGACGUUUUAUCUAUUCUAGCCUGUGACUAUUUUUUUCUCAAUAUACCUUAUCAAUCACAUUAAAAUUAAUUUUCACUUCAGUAAUUUUCACAGAGCAAAAAUUAAAAUAACCUCCCUACUUCUGCCUACACAUACAAAGGCUCUCCAAUAUUUCUAUUUUCCAUAAGACUUAGGACCUUCCACUAUACAAUCAAUUUCACUCACUCACUUACUAAUUAUUGUUUAUUUCCAAGGUAGAUCAACUUGACAACUAUAUUCACUAUGGCCUUGGAUAGACUCCAAUCCUUGACUGAUGUUAGAGCUUUAGACCUUAAACAUUUAGCAACUUACUGUAGUGGGUAGCCAUUCCAACCUUGAUCUGGAAGUUCCAACCCCCAUUGAGGCUUCGGUAACUGUCACGCCUACAACACGAGGCCAAGAGAGGACCCUGAAGACCUGAGAUCCAGAUGCGCCGUCUCUCUUGGUUCCCAGACCCUGGACACUGGAGGUAGACCGAGCAGAGUUCUCCAGAGAACAAUGCUGGUCUGCGCUACGUCUUUCCCAGACCCUGCGACCUACCUAUCCCUUCAUUUGUAAGUUAUGCCACUAAAUAAACCUCUCUUUUAACUAUGUGGAGUGGCAUUAAUAAUUUCACCAAUAACUUAUGAGCAAGUAGAGUAUUAA